UGUGAGUGGGAGAAAUGGUCCAAGAGCACCU
rnacentral:piRNA from 1 species